AACGAACGCUGGCGGCAUGCCUAACACAUGCAAGUCGAACGAGACCUUCGGGUCUAGUGGCGCACGGGUGCGUAACGCGUGGGAACCUGCCCUUAGGUUCGGAAUAACUCCCCGAAAGGGGUGCUAAUACCGGAUAAUGUCUUCGGACCAAAGAUUUAUCGCCUUUGGAUGGGCCUGCGUUGGAUUAGCUAGUUGGUAGGGUAAAAGCCUACCACGGCGACGAUCCAUAGCUGGUCUGAGAGGAUGAUCAGCCACACUGGGACUGAGACACGGCCCAGACUCCUACGGGAGGCAGCAGUGGGGAAUAUUGGACAAUGGGCGAAAGCCUGAUCCAGCAAUGCCGCGUGAGUGAUGAAGGCCUUAGGGUUGUAAAGCUCUUUUACCCGGGAUGAUAAUGACAGUACCGGGAGAAUAAGCUCCGGCUAACUCCGUG
rnacentral:rRNA from 1 species